AAGGCACGGGGUAGGAAGAAAAGAGACAAGAUUGUGACUCAAAAGUGUAGAUGGAGGAUUCACCAGGACAGACCCAGGAAGGAAACCAGCUGCCAUGCAUGAGGAUACUCCAGCAGCUUAUGGAGAAGUCCAUGUGGUGAGGAACUGGGGUCGGUCCACAACCACCUGAGUGAACCUGAAAGUGGAUCUUCCCCUCACUCAAGCAUUGAGUUGACUGCUGGCCCAACCAACAGUUUGUCUGCAACUUCAUGGGAGAUCCUGACUCAGAAGCACUCAAUUAACUCAUGAAAACGGCUCCAGUAUGAAUGGUGAAUGUAAUUUAAUGUGUCAUGGAAAUGCAGAGCUGUAGAACUGAUUAUUAUGCCCAGUAUAAAUGGAAGAGCUCUAAUCUACGAGUGGAGGUGAAGCAUCCCCAGUGGCCAGGAGGACAACCUUGCCCAGUGACCUUUCCUAGAAGAAGGUAUUGAAGUGCUAAGAUGAGGAUUUC
rnacentral:lncRNA from 1 species